rnacentral:tRNA from 1 species
AACUAAAUGGCUGAAAGAGCAAAGAAUUUUUAAUUCUUACAUGAAGUUUACUUCUUUAGUU